rnacentral:lncRNA from 12 species
CUGGUUUUAAAGGAUGUCAGAUGGAGCUUUGCAGGGCUCUCAGAGCCUCUCACCCACUGCAGCCCUAAAGGGUAUCCCAAAGACAGCUGUAAAUCCCCCAUUUUCUGAGGGUUAAAUCCCAGCCUGAGCUGCUGGGGAUGGACAGACCCAUUCAAAGGGGCAGCUGCCCUUUGGAAAGAAACCUCACCUUUUUGGUUUCAGGGCAGCCAAGGCGUUACAGCCACAGUGACCACGGGCCAGUGAAAGUCUGGAAGUAGCUAUUGUUUGCAGAUGCAGGAGAAAAUAUUUGCUAAGCACGUAAUGAAUCAGUGUUUUAAGGGAUUGAAACCACAUGCCUGUGUGGCUGAUGUGUGGAUUUCUUCACGGUAAAAUGUUAAUGAAAAACUUUUGGGCAAGGCAGUUCCAGUAAGCCAUAUAGCGUGAGGCUGGGAAUGCAGGAGAGAGAGGCAGAUUUAAAAACAAAAAUGCUGUGAGUACAAUAGAGGAGUUUUUCCCAUCCCUUUCACACCCUGCCUGUGCUCUCCUCAUUCCCCUGGCACACGGGUGGCAAAGCCCAGGAUAAUUCCUGUCCCUUGCAGGGCACUGCAGGAGGGAAGUGCGUGCAUGUGGAAACCCGGCACCUUGGAUCCCUCCCCUCCGUCUGAGCAGCCUGGCUGGAACUCACAGAGGCUUUUCUCCCUAGCAGACGGAAAAUAUUCCUCAUGGAGCCCUGGGAUUUGACUGACACAACAAUAAUGUUCUCUCUAAGUGUGUGGGGCAGCCAGGUGAGAGAGGCUGUGCUGGGGAUGCGCUGACGCCGGCUCCUGGCCCCGCCUGGAGGCUUCCAAGCACACCAUGCUUUCCAAGUGGGAUUGCACCUGAAGAUUUGCACCUUUUCCAGCCUGGAAGGAGCAGCCAGAGGGACAGUGCCUUGCUGAGGCUGUGCUGCAGCCAGUGCCCAGCAGGAGCAAGAAGAGCUCAGACCCUUCUCCACCCCCUGGACACAGCCUGGCAGUGCUAACAACCUCUCCU